AGUUGCUUUUGAACCACCUUCUUUUUUCUUUUCAUGAAAUAGGUCAAGUAUUAUUAGCGUCUUUGAAGAUUGGCUGCCUUUUAAGGGACAUUUUUAUCAUACUGACUUAUGUGCUCAUAAAAUAUGCAGUGAGGACAGAUGGGCAGAAGGCUGGAGUGGAGAAGAAGGAAAUAAUUAUCUGCCUAGUGCAAAGCGUGUACUUGCAAUAUUCCAUGUAUGCCGCAAACUAUAAAAGGUCACAAAAUAAUGGUGUGAGCCAUUUCAGUUAACACAGUUGUUUUGUGUCUGCUCUCAGCCUAGCACAGUGAUGCUAUCAGGUAGGAAUGCUGGGGAGCAUCCAAGUGGGGUGGUACUGCUUGUGGAGCCCCCCACAGAUAUUUCCCCAAUCAACGUGCUGUCUGGAUCUACUCUUGCAGUUCUUAUGAUUGCAAUAACCACCAGGGAACUUUGAUAAAACAAGGUUUGUUACCCACAAGUAAACAAAUCCAGGCCAUGAGGAGAGUGAGGGAGAGAGAGAGAGAGAGUGAGAGAGAGCGAGUGAGCCCUGGGAGUCUCUGGGGACCUAGGGCUCUGUCUUUAUUGAGGUUGAGGUUGGGGUGUCUAGGGUUUUAUGGGUUCACUACCGGCAAAUUCUAAAUCUAAGAUUAAAAUAUAACCUAGGUUCUAAUAUUAUUAUCUGAUCCCCAUUUAAAAUAAACUCUUGUAUUGUAUCUUGCUUCCAGCAAGCCAUUAUGUAUUUCAUUAAAUCUCAAGUGCUUUUGAGGUUGAGGAUUUUUUAUUCUAACCCUAGGUGUCACUGGGAGAUUUCACAUUACUUCAUCAUGACUGUCCCCUGGUGGGCAGUUAUAGUAUGGCAUAUCAGCAGCAGCUUGCUUACAGAGAUGCAUGCUGAUUUAAGAGAGGUUAAGAUGGGUAAAUAAAGAGUGCACUUUAGAAUUGUUGGAACAGGGUACUUUUGCAUAAAAGAAAAAUUAAGGACGAAUCCUUCAUUUUGCAUACAUUUUCCAUAGUAGGCCCUUACUGCCUCUGGUUCUUUAAAACAUAACCUGGUUUGCUAAAUCCUGGCUGACACACCAUGUUGAUGGAAUAUCGCUGCUCCACAAAGUGGGUGGCAUUUGUGCAGGCAAGCUGUGCUUGUGCCUGCCUGUCACCUGCGGAGAGAAAAUUGCUCUAAUGCUGUACAUCACCCUCAUAAUCUUUCUUUUUCUCUUUCUCUUCCCUUUUGCAAAAUGUAGAUAACAGAAAAUUACUUACAGUCUGCAUCUUCUCUUUUAAAUACAAAAAUUAAUAGCAGGCCUCAUCAGAUAGGUUUAAUGGUUUGUGUUCCUCGGUAUUUCAGCCUGGAAAAUGCCGAGGUUUAGUCCUCUGUUUGGUCCUGUUUUAAGCAUGUUCAGAACACAAGCGUGGGAGGUCUGGCUCCUUCACUGUUUACUGGCUGAACAAGUCUCAUGCCUCCUUGGAUCUUGGUUUCCUUGGUUCUCAAGUGGAAGGGACUUGGUUGUCAACUCCAAGGGACUCCUGGGUGAACCAAAGGAGGUAACUAUUUGGGUACCUAUUAAAAGCUUUAUACCAAUGUCUGAUGAGAAUCACUGAUAAAAAUACUUGGAGGGUGUUUUGACAAGUGCUACAGUAGUGGAAACAAAUAUUUUCAGUUUUUUUUUAAAUUUUAAAAUAAUUGGGAACAAAAUCAAAUAAUUGGAUCUAAGUCUGUGUAGUACAAAGAGUAUAGCCUAUUUUUAGGGUUCAAAAGUGAUGAAAAAUUGCUAUCAUAUGGGAUUGCCAUUAAGCCACUGGUGAUGAUGCUAAAGUCCCGUUCAGUGAGUAGACACAAGUUUGGUGCACAGGUUGCUGGGAAGUCAACCCCAAUAGCAGCCUCAACUUUCUCCAAGCAGCACAUUUACUUGGCAAAUGGGUGGGGACCUUCUGAGCUGGAGCAUGACCCCCUCUCAGACCUUUUGCAGCCAAACCCUUAGGACCCAGAUUGUCUCCAAAUGGGGGCUUCUUGAGAUUGAGGGGCAGCCUAUAUGUUGGGGACUCCUUGGGGAGUGGGCCCGUCUCCCCAGAGCUAGUGAAAUCAGAGGCUUUCCUGAACUCUUCUGUGGGUUGAUCACCUGGGAAUCCCUCUCUCCUUGUCCUCUCAAAGGACAUGAUAUGAAAUAAUCCCUGCCAGGGAUGAUAAGUCUGUGUGACCCUGGACCUCGAGGUCCUGUGGCUUGUGGGAAAGUCACCAUCAUGGAAAGUCAUCUUCAGCAGGAAUGAAGAUUACUGCUGGCUCCUAUUACUAUAGACCAACUCUGCUAAACAGAAAAGGAAUGGACUGAAAAGCCAGCCUGUGGUUCAGGAAUACCAGGAGCCUUGAGAAGCAGGCUGGACGAAGGCCAGGAACGAGGAAGGCCAGGCAGCUGCGGGGCCACAGCCCCGAUCUUGCCAGUGAGAUGUGGCCAUCACAUGUGGUACAGCAUCUACUGCUCCCGGAAACUGAAUAUUGCUGUGGUUGCCGCUGUCACUGCUGUGGACUCAACCGUUCUCACUGCUGUGGGUCAGUAGCUGCCAAUUCAAAAAGCUGGGCUGGGAGCAUCUGAUCGGUUAAACCUCCAUCACACACUUGCACUUUAAUUGCAAAGGAGGCUGGAAGGGGGCUGGGUAAAGGUGAAGCUAGGAAAUAAAGCACUUGGAUAUCCUC